GACGAACGCUGGCGGCGUGCUUAACACAUGCGAGUCGAACGGAAAGGCCCUGCGUUUGUGGGGUGCUCGAGUGGCGAACGGGGGAGUAACACGUGAGUAACCUGCCCUUGACUUUGGGAUAACUUCAGGAAACUGGGGCUAAUACCGGAUAGGAGCUCCUGCUGCAUGGUGGGGGUUGGAAAGUUUCGGCGGUUGGGGAUGGACUCGCGGCUUAUCAGCUUGUUGGUGGGGUAGUGGCUUACCAAGGCUUUGACGGGUAGCCGGCCUGAGAGGGUGACCGGCCACAUUGGCACUGAGAUACGGCCCAGACUCCUACGGGAGGCAGCAGUGGGGAAUAUUGCACACUGGGCGGAAGCCUGAUGCAGCAACGCCGCGUGCGGGAUGACGGCCUUCGGGUUGUAAACCGCUUUCGCCUGUGACGAAGCGUGAGUGACGGUAAUGGGUAAAGAAGCACCGGCUAACUACGUG
rnacentral:rRNA from 1 species